rnacentral:rRNA from 1 species
CUGUGUUCGCACGGAAGGGAUGUAUUUAUUAGAUACAAAACCAAUGCAGGGCAUUCAACUGGGUUAUAGGUACUUUUGUAUUUAUGGCUUGGGUCCUGGUUUAUUUGGUGAAUCACAAUAACUUCUCGAAUCGUAUGGCCUAGCGCCGACGAUGUUUCAUUCGAAUUUCUGCCCUAUCAACUUUCGAUGGUAAGGUAGUGGCUUACCAUGGUGAUAACGGGUAACGGAGAAUUAGGGUUCGAUUCCGGAGAGGCAGCCUGAGAAACGGCUACCACGACUAAGGUUGGCAGCAGGCGCGUAAAUUACCCAAUCCUGACACAGGGAGGUAGCGACAAUAAAUAUGCGAUGCAGGCCUAUCUAUGGCUCUGCAAUCCAAAUGAGUACAAUUUAAACCCCUUAACGAGUAGCAAUUGGAGGGCAAGUCUGGUGCCAGCAGCCGCGGUAAUUCCAGCUCCAAUAGCGUAUAUUUUCGUUGCUGCAGUUGAAAAGCUCGUAGUUGGAUUUUGGGACGAGGAGGACUUGGUCUGCCUUAAUGGUAUGUACUGGUUCACCCGUUCUUUUUUAUAGGUGAAAGGCACUUGUGUCUUUCCCUAUAUGUUUUCUUUACGGGACAUUCGCUUCUGCUAUUGAUUUAGUGGGGGUAUUCUCUGGGUUCUUUGUGCCUUCGGGUUGACAUUGGAUUUGGGGUUUCGUUGUGUAGGAAUCACAAUGGCAGUUGAUUCUGUCAUUGCCUGCACAAUCGGAAUGCCCGUUCGUUACCGUGAAUAAAUGUGCGUGCUCAAAGCAAGCGAUUUAGCUAUGAAACCUACAGCAUGGGAUAAUGGAAUAAGAUCGUGGGCCUGUUUUGUUGGUUUUCGGAAGCUACGAUAAUGAUUAACAGAAACAGUCGGGGGCAUUGGUAUCGCCACGUCAGAGGUGAAAUUCUUGGAUCUUGGCGCGACCAACAUGGGCGAAAGCAUCUGCCAAGGAUGUUUUCAUUAAUCAAGAACGAAAGUAGGGGGAUCGAAGACGAUCAGAUACCGUCGUAGUCCUUACAGUAAACUAUGCCGGCCAGGGAUUCGAGAGAGAAACAUGGAUGUCCUCUUGAGCACCUUGUGAGAAAUCACAAGCUUUUGGGUUCUUGGGGGAGUACGGCCGCAAGACUGAAACUUAAAGGAAUUGACGGAAGGGCACCACCAGGAGUGGAGCCUGCGGCUUAAUUUGACCCAACACGGGAAAACUUAUCGGGUCAGGACAGAAGAAGGAUUGACAGGUUGAGAGCCCUUUCUUGAUUUUUUGGGUGGUGGUGCAUGGCCGUUCUUAGUUGGUGGAGUGAUUUGUCUGGUCAAUUCCGUGAACGAACGAGACCUUAACCUGCUAAAUAGUUAUGCGAAUCUUGCU